GGAAGGUCGCCCGCACGCAGUGUCGCGGAGGCCUGGCCGGUAUGCUGGUCUGAGGGACCUCUUGGGUUACUGUUGCACGUGGAGGCGCCGCAGUGACAUUCCCGCCGCAGCCAAGUUUCAGUUACCCACCAUCAACCUGUCUGAAGAUAGUAAAUGGAAAAUUCCAGGAACAAACAAUUUAAAGGGAAGGCCUUACAUUGUUCUUUGGAGGAAGAGGAAAGAAAAGAUGCAGGCAGAGGGAUAAACGUGAGCAGUGGUGAACCAGAGAGAGGAGCAACCGCACAGGACAGGCUUAUAAGUUUUGAGAGGGACACCUUGCGAUCCGGGCCAGAAAGUCCAGACUUGAUGCAGAACACAUGGGGCAGUUAAAGGCAACAGCAGAGGAAGAAGAAACAUAAACCUGGCCUGGACCUUCCCUUCACAGUGAAGAAGCAGCCCAGGAAGUUUAAAGAGAUUCUCAAAGUCACCGUCAAGUUGCUAAGGACUUUGGUGGCCCUGCAUCCCAAUCAGGGGCUCCUUCCAUAUCGGUUUUCCUGAAGUUUUCUCCAGCCUCUUCAGGUGGGCUAAGAAAAGACUGUUUCCAGAACUGGCUAUAAGACACAAGCUUCAUUCAUGUCACGGAAGGUGUAAGACAUAAACUUCAUGUCAUGGAAUCUUGAACAGUAAUAACUGAGGAGGUAGCUCAUCUAAGCUCCUUUGGCUGUUGGGAGU